UACGGAGGAUCCGAGCGUUAUUCGGAUUUACUGGGUUUAAAGGGUGCGUAGGCGGGCGCUUAAGUCAGCGGUGAAAUGCGGGGGCUCAACCUUCGGACGGCCGUUGAUACUGGGCGCCUUGGAUUCGGUCGAGGCGGGCGGAAUGCGGCAUGUAGCGGUGAAAUGCUUAGAUAUGUCGCAGAACGCCGAUUGCGAAGGCAGCUCGCCGGGCCGAUAUUGACGCUGCGGCACGAAAGCGUGGGGAUCGAACAGGAUUAGAUACCCUGGUAGUCCACGCCGUAAACGAUGAUGGCUGGAUGUUGGCGAUACACCGUCAGCGUCUGAGGAAAACCAUUAAGCCAUCCACCUGGGGAGUACGGCCGCAAGGCUGAA
rnacentral:rRNA from 1 species